rnacentral:rRNA from 1 species
AGCUCCAAUAGCGUAUAUUAAAGUUGUUGCAGUUAAAAAGCUCGUAGUUGAAUAUCUGGCCGGUGCUGUCCUCGGCUCCCUGAGUCGGCUCAGCGCCUGGUUAUCCGUAUGGGAAACUAGCUCGACCUUCACUGUGUCGGCUAGUGGAUCAUACACUUUACUUUGAAAAAAUUAGAGUGUUUCAGGCAGGCAAUUGCUUGGAUACUGUAGCAUGGAAUAAUGGAAUAGGACUUUGACCUAUUUGUUGGUUUCUCGAGGUCAGAGUAAUGAUUAAUAGGGACGGUUGGGGGCAUUCGUAUUUAAUUGUCAGAGGUGAAAUUCUUGGAUUUUUUAAAGACGAACUUAUGCGAAAGCAUUUGCCAAGGAUGUUUUCA